rnacentral:rRNA from 1 species
GACAGAGGGUGCAAACGUUGUUCGGAAUUACUGGGCGUAAAGCGCAUGUAGGCGGCCAAGCAGGUCGGAUGUGAAAUCCCUCGGCUCAACCAAGGAAGUGCAUUCGAAACCGCAUGGCUGGAGUCCCGGAGAGGGCAGUGGAAUUCUCGGUGUAGAGGUGAAAUUCGUAGAUAUCGAGAGGAACACCGGCGGCGAAAGCGGCUGCCUGGACGAGGACUGACGCUGAGAUGCGAAAGCGUGGGGAGCAAACAGG